rnacentral:rRNA from 1 species
AUUGAACGCUGGCGGCAGGCCUAACACAUGCAAGUCGAGCGGAUGAUGGGAGCUUGCUCCUGGAUUCAGCGGCGGACGGGUGAGUAAUGCCUAGGAAUCUGCCUGGUAGUGGGGGACAACGUUUCGAAAGGAACGCUAAUUCCGCAUACGUCCUACGGGAGAAAGCAGGGGGCCUUCGGGCCUUGCGCUAUCAGAUGAGCCUAGGUGGGAUUAGGUUGUUGGUGAGGUAAUGGCCUACGAAGGCGACGAUCGGUAACUGGUCUGAGAGGAUGAUCAGUCACACUGGAACUGAGACACGGUCCAGACUCCUACGGGAGGCAGCAGUGGGGAAUAUUGGACAAUGGGCGAAAGCCUGAUCAAGCCAUGCCGCGUGUGUGAAGAAGGUCUUCGGAUUGUAAAGCACUUUAAGUUGGGAGGAAGGGUUGUAGAUUAAUACUCUGCAAUUUUGACGUUACCGACAGAAUAAGCACCGGCUAACUCUGUGCCAGCAGCCGCCGCUGUAA